rfam:Gossypium arboreum cultivar AKA8401 contig_48308_1, whole genome shotgun sequence.
AAUUAAAAAUGUCAUCUAUUUCUACUAUUAAAACUGGUGUGGCAUUAUACCUCAUGCUAAUAUAGAGAGAUUAGUUUUUAAUAGUAAAAAUAGAUGAAAUUUUUAACA